rnacentral:rRNA from 1 species
GAUGAACGCUGGCGGCGUGCUUAACACAUGCGAGUCGAACGGUGAAGGCGGAGCUUGCUCUGCUGGAUCAGUGGCGAACGGGUGAGUAACACGUGAGCAAUCUGCCCCUGACUCUGGGAUAAGCGCUGGAAACGGCGUCUAAUACUGGAUACGAGCUGCGAAGGCAUCUUCAGCAGCUGGAAAGAAUUUCGGUCAGGGAUGAGCUCGCGGCGUAUCAGCUUGUUGGUGAGGUAAUGGCUCACCAAGGCGUCGACGGGUAGCCGGCCUGAGAGGGUGACCGGCCACACUGGGACUGAGACACGGCCCAGACUCCUACGGGAGGCAGCAGUGGGGAAUAUUGCACAAUGGGCGAAAGCCUGAUGCAGCAACGCCGCGUGAGGGACGACGGCCUUCGGGUUGUAAACCUCUUUUAGCAGGGAAGAAGCGAAAGUGACGGUACCUGCAGAAAAAGCGCCGGCUAACUACGUG